AUUGAACGCUGGCGGCAUGCUUUACACAUGCAAGUCGGACGGCAGCACAGAGAAGCUUGCUUCUUGGGUGGCGAGUGGCGAACGGGUGAGUAACAUAUCGGAACGUACCGAGUAGUGGGGGAUAACUGAUCGAAAGAUCAGCUAAUACCGCAUACGUCUUGAGAGGGAAAGCAGGGGACCUUCGGGCCUUGCGCUAUUCGAGCGGCCGAUAUCUGAUUAGCUAGUUGGUGGGGUAAAGGCCUACCAAGGCGACGAUCAGUAGCGGGUCUGAGAGGAUGGUCCGCCACACUGGGACUGAGACACGGCCCAGACUCCUACGGGAGGCAGCAGUGGGGAAUUUUGGACAAUGGGCGCAAGCCUGAUCCAGCCAUGCCGCGUGUCUGAAGAAGGCCUUCGGGUUGUAAAGGACUUUUGUCAGGGAAGAAAAGGCUGUUGCUAAUAUCAGCGGCUGAUGACGGUACCUGAAGAAUAAGCACCGGCUAACUACGUGCCAGCAGCCGCGGUAAUACGUAGGGUGCGAGCGUUAAUCGGAAUUACUGGGCGUAAAGCGAGCGCAGACGGUUACUUAAGCCGGAUGUGAAAUCCCCGGGCUCAACCUGGGAACUGCGUUCUGAACUGGGUGACUAGAGUGUGUCAGAGGGAGGUAGAAUUCCACGUGUAGCAGUGAAAUGCGUAGAGAUGUGGAGGAAUACCGAUGGCGAAGGCAGCCUCCUGGGAUAACACUGACGUUCAUGCUCGAAAGCGUGGGUAGCAAACAGG
rnacentral:rRNA from 1 species